CAAGAAUCUACGAAAAGAAAUAAAAUACUUUUUAUAAUCUAGACAGAGCAUCAGGCACCGAUACAACAAAACUGUGAUACUUCAGUGUCCUAUAGAAGCAACACUAGAUUCCCAAAGAACUUUACCGCUUGAAAAAUAGCAAUGAUUAUCAUUACGAAUUGCUGGGAAAAAAGGAGAACUUACAAACACUUGAGCUGUUCUAUAAAAUCAUCAAACGAUUCCUGGAAGAAAGAAACAGGUUUUUCUCUGCAAUAAUAUUAAUACAUCAGAAUAUAUGUAAACAAUCCAUACUUAUAACAUUUAUUAAUUCAAGAAAAUUCAAGAUACGACAACAAGAAUGAUAGCUGCAUUCUGAAAUUGUCACUAUACUGAGAUCAUCAUAAACAUUUACAAGCACGUGAUGUUACAUGCUGUUGCUGGAGGCAUAGUUUGAGUCUCAAAAUUGGAGAGUGAAGACUGGAUUUGUAUGAUUUUGUAUGUCGUUAGUAAUAAAAUUCCUUUUCUCUGUGUAGUAUAGAGAAAAUUUGCAA